GAAAUACUGUGGCAAUAAUUAUGUUUAGGAGACAUCAUGUAUCCAAACACAGAUCCACCAUAUGUAUGAGAAACCUUGAUUUACCUAUAUUGUACAAUUUUUGGGCAGCUAAACAUAAUUUGUUCCAUUAAGCUUUAACAUGGUUAAGUAGCACUAACUACAUGAGGGGAAUAUAGUUUGAGACACCUCAAACAGAGGAAGCUCUAUUGAGUUGAAUUUCAUGGUAUAACUUUGAAUAAAUAGAGAGGGAUAAUGACCUUUUCUGUAGAUAUAUUUUAUAUUUUCUAGCCUGAAUGUGCUUUUAUGUGCUGGUUGAGUUGUGUGUGUGCUGUCUGGAUUAUUUAUUUAUGUGUACAGGAGUCUGAG